CUUGGGUGUCCCCAGGUCCCCUCGGUGUCCCCUGGGGUGUCCCCAGGCACCCUUGGGUGUCCCCAGGCACCCUUGUGUCCCUCCUCGCUGUCCCUUGGGUGUCCCCAGGUCCCCUCGGUGUCCCCUCAGCACCCAUGGGUGCCCCCUCCCACCCUCCCCUGUCCCUGGGGUCCCCAUGGGGUUCUUUUUGGGGUCCCCAACGUUCUCCAAGGGUUCUCUGUAGGGUCCCCAAUGUUCCCCAUGGGGUCCCCGAUGUCCCCAUGGGUUCUCCAAGGGGACCCCAACCUUCUUUAGGGUCCCUGAUGUUCCCCAUGGGGUCCCCAAUGUCCCCAUGGGUUCUCCAAGGGGACCCCAAUGUUCUCCAUGGGGUCCCCAAUGUCCCCAUGGGUUCUCCCUGGGGUCCCCGAUGUCCCCAUGGGCUCUCCAAGGGGACCCCAAUGUUCUCCUUGGGGUUCCUGAUGUUCCCCAUGGGGUCCCCAAUGUCCCCUAUGGGUUCUCUAAGGGGACCCCAACCCUCUUUAGGGUCCCUGAUGUUCCCCAUGGGGUCCCCAACGUUCUUGAUGUUCCUCUUGGGGUUCCUGAUGUCCCCCAUGGGGUCCCCGAUGUCCCCAUGGGUUCUCCAAGGAGACCCCAAUGUUCUCCAUGAGGUUCUUGAGGUUCUCCAUGGGGUCCCCAACGUUCUCUGUAGGGUUCCUGAUGUUCCUCUUGGGGUUCCUGAUGUCCCCAUGGGCUCCUCAUGGGGUCCCCAACGUUCUCGGGGUCCCCGACGUUCUCCCCGGGUUCCCCGGUGUCCCCCUGACGCUGUCCCCAUCUUGUCCCCAGUGCCACCACCAUGCCGCACCAGUACCCGGCGCUCACCCCCGAGCAGAAGCAGGAGCUCGCCGACAUCGCCCGGCGCAUCGUGGCCCCCGGCAAGGGCAUCCUAGCUGCCGAUGAGUCCACUGGUGGGCACUGGGAUGAACUGGGAGGGGACUGGGGGGGGCUGGGAGGGGGCUGGGAGGGACUGGUUUGGGGCUGGGAGGGACUGGUGGGCACUGGGAGGGGGUUGAGGGGCACUGGGAGGGCACUGGGAGCUGCUGGGGUGGGGUUGAGGGCCAUUGGGAGGCAACUGGGGCAGACUGGGAGGCAACUGGGGCAGACUGGAAGCAACUGGGACAGACAGGAAACAACUGGGAGGUGCCGCCCUGCCCAGUAUUGAGGAAGUACUGGGGAGUGAGUCAGCUCUGACGGGACUGGGAGGAACUGGGAGGGGCCGAGGGGCCACUGGGAGAUACGGAGGGGCACUGGGAGGGCACUGGACCUUACUGGGAGAUGCUGGAGCGGCACCAGGAGUGCACUGGGAGCUACUGGGAGGAACUGGGAUGGCAGCAGGGAGGAUGGGGAAACAGCUGAGCACCUCGAGGUGGCACCAGUGGGGCUUUGAGAGCUUCUGGGGUGGUACUGGGAGAUACUGGGAGGCACUGGGGCACCGCCAAUAGUCCAGAGGGACAUACUGGGACAUACUGGGUCAUACUGGUAUGGCUUCAAGGAAGAUGGGGAAGUGUCUGAGAACCUCGAGGUGGCACCAGGAGGUCCACGAGAGCUCCUGGGAAGGCACUGGGAGCUACUGGGAGGCACUGGGGCACCACCAAUAGACCAGAGGGACAUACUGGGACACACUGGGUCAUACUGGGACAUACUGGUAUGGCUUCAAGGAGGAUGGGGAAGUGUCUGAGAACCUCGAGGUGGCACCAGGAGGUCCACGAGAGCUCCUGGGAAGGCACUGGGAGC
rnacentral:lncRNA from 1 species